UCUCUCUCUCUCUCAUAUAAAUAAAUCUAAAAAAUUUUAUAGGAUUGGGACAAACCUUCACAUCCUCUGGCUAGGAGAGCAGUGUAGGCUGCGUCCUGUCUUUGUGACUUAGACCAUGCAGCCAAUGGUAGAGAAUGCUGGCUUUCCUAUUCAUUGCGCCUGCAGAUCACAGGGAGCCAAGGUGGAUGAGGCAGCCAUGGACGUGUAUGACUGACCAACAGCAUCAUAGCUGCCAGAGCCAUGACAUCAUCUCCUCAGACAAUAACAUGGAUCCACCUGCAUCAGAUUUCGGGUUCAAGGAAAAAACAACAACAACAACAAAAAUUACUGGAGGGAGUCUGGCGGUAGCGCAGCGGGUUAAGCACACUUGGUGCAAAUCACAAGGACCAGCAAAAGGAUCCCGGUUCGAGUCUCCGGCUCCCCAUCUGCAGGGGAGUCGCUUCAUAGGCAGUGAAGCAGCUAUUGUAAAUCACUCUGCCACAAGCAUUUUGAUCCAAGCGGUUGUUACUUUGAGGAAAAUGAAGAUGAAGUUCAAAGACACUGCAUGCCAUGUGGACCCUUCAUGCCAGUGGGAACAGAGUAAAAUCACUGCCUAAGGUCAGCUCCGGCUCACGAUGCUGGAAGCCUCACCUACACUGGGAACAGAUGUCCUACCGUUCUGGGCCCCUGUAGGGAAGAGUCUAGUGGGCUGGAGUGAACAGACAUGUAUUCACGUUUAGUUUCUGCUGACCAUCAGCUAAAUGGUGUUAGGAAAAGGAUAGCUCUCAGAGUUCCUGAGCAUGCACUCAGGCUGUGGUUAAACACUGAGGAUACACAUCCCUGUGGUCUAGGAGAUGGAGAGGGGUGCAUUAGUUCCCUCACUAGUAGAAAAGGAAUUCACUUAAUUCACUUAUGCUCAAGAUCUGUACCAAGCAAUGAAUGUGCACAGGAGCCUGUCAGGGACUUGGGGUUAAUUACCAGGAGAGUAUGGCAGAGGGCUGGGGGCUGCAGUGCCCGAGGUUUGGGCUCCAGGUGGCCAGACUCACACAGCACAUGAUUAAAGAAAGGCUGGGAAGCAGUGUUCCUGGGCAAAGGCCCCUCAAGGGCAUGGUCUGGGGAGAUGAGCCAGGAGGUAUAUUCUGCCUAGUCCUGGCCCAACUGAACCACUGUAUUUCCUUCCUACAACUAUCUUCAAAGAGCUGGAUUCUGGGAUUUUUGAAGUGAGAGACUUAUAAAAGAACCAGGCCAUUCAUUCUGAUACUUUUGUAAUUCAUAAAUCCUCAGCAUACCCAAGAUGAUUUGCCAGGCUGACUGUCUCCUCCUCUUCUUUCUCCUCUUCCUCUUCUCCCUACUCCCACCUUCCUGCUCCUCUUUCUUUCUUUUUCUUUCCUCCUGUUCCUCUUUCUCCUCCUUCUUCUGUUCUUCUUUUGAAAAGUGAAAGAGAGAGAGACAGAGAGAGACACAGAGAGAGACAGAAUCACAAUAAAAUUGCAGUGGUCCAAACCUGGGUCCUGAACAUGGUAGAGCAUAGUACUAUCCAAGUGAGCUAUUUUGCUGGCCCUGAUUUUCCAACUUCUUAUUUGCUAAAUAUGAAAAUAAAAUAAAAUAAAUAACCUAGCUACCACCUAUAAAAAAAUGAAGAAAGAAUGAUCUCCCAUCUCAAAAAUAGGAAAGACAAUACUAGUUAACUUCAGGGUACUCAUGUGAAGUCUUUUUUUAAAAAAUAAUUUUUUAUUAGUGUUUUAAUAAUGAUCGACAAGAUUGUGGGAUAAACGGGGUACAAUUCCCACCACCAGAGUUCCGUAUCCCCUCCCCUCCAUUGGAAGUUUCCCUAUUCUUUAUCCCUCUGGGAAUAUGGACCCAAUAUCUUUAUGGGGUACAGAAAGUGGGAGGUCUGGCUUCUGUAAUUGUUUCUCCACUGGACAUGGGUAUUGACAGGCUGAUCCAUAUCCCUAGCCUGUUUCUGCCUUUCCCUAGUGGGGUAGGGUUCUAGGGAAGUAGGGUUCAAGGACAUAUUGGUAUGGUUGUCUGACCAGGUAAGUCAGGUUGGUGUCAUGGUAGCAGCUGCACCCUGGUGGCUGAAAAGCACUAAGAUACAAAGCAAAACAAUUUCUUUAAUAAUCAGGAACCUAAAGGUAGAAGUAGAGCAGAUGAGGGAGCCAGGCGGUAGCACAGCAGGUUAAGCACACAUGGUGCAAAGUACAAGGACCAGCAUAAGGAUCCCGGUUCAAGUCCCUGGCUCCCCACCUGCAGGCGGUCACUUCACAAGCGGUGAAGCAGGUCUGCAGGUGUCUCUCCUCCUCUCUGUCUUCCCCUCCUCUCUCCAUUUCUCUCUGUCCUAUCCAACAACCACAAUAUCAGUAACAACAACAAUAAUAAUUACAACAAAAAAACAAGGGCAACAAAAGGCAAUAAAUAAAUAAAUAUUAAAAAAAAAGAAGUAGGGGAGUCCGGCUGUAGUGCAGUGGGUUAAGCGCAGGUGGUGCAAAGCACAAGGACCGGCAUAAGGAUCCCGGUUCGAACCUCGGCUCCCCACCUGCAGGGGAGUCGCUUCACAGGCGGUGAAGCAGGUCUGCAGGUGUCUAUCUUUCUCUCCUCCUCUCUGUCUUCCCCUCCUCUCUCCAUUUCUCUCUGUCCUAUCCAACAACGACAACAACAAUAAUAACUACAACAAUAAAACAACAAGGGCAACAAAAGGGAAUAAAUAAAUUAAAUAAAUAUUAAAAAAAAAGAAG